rnacentral:rRNA from 1 species
UACAGAGGUCUCAAGCGUUGUUCGGAUUCAUUGGGCGUAAAGGGUGCGUAGGUGGCGCCGUAAGUCGGGUGUGAAAUUUCGGAGCUUAACUCCGAAACUGCAUUCGAUACUGCGGUGCUUGAGGACUGGAGAGGAGACUGGAAUUCAUGGUGUAGCAGUGAAAUGCGUAGAGAUCAUGAGGAAGACCAGUGGCGAAGGCGGGUCUCUGGACAGUUCCUGACACUGAGGCGCGAAAGCUAGGGGAGCAAACGGG